CCCCGGCCUGGGCAGUGCUUAGCCCCAGAUACCCCAAAGCUGUUGUACGCACAUGAUGAAGGUGAAAUUGUAAUUCUGUGCGGCUCCCCAGCCAGCCUGGCCCGGCCCUGGCUUCCAACAGGUAGCCAGGCUGGAGGGCACGCAGCGGGAGCCCCGCGGCCUCCUGUGGGCCGAGCCGGCGCGGCGCUGCAGGCCGGGACGAGCAGGAAAAAUGCAGGGCCCCGUGCGCCUGUGGACGGGGCCGGUGCGCAGCGCUGCUGCUGCUGUUCAGUGAUCUGAAUGGGUGCGAUCCUAGUUUAGGCCCUCAGCUCAUUGCAGCAAGCUGACAGUCUCCGCUGCCUGCGCCAAACACAAAAGGUGUCCGGGUCUCUGCAGGCUCCGGCCGAUAACGCCGCGCUGGGAUCUCCUGCGAGCUCCGUGGCUCCCGUGAAUUGCCUGGCUCUCCUUCAAAGGCUGCCCUACGGACUCUGGAGCCUUCGAACAAAAUCCAUCGGCUUCAGCGCUAAACCAAAAAUCACCUACAACUUGAAGGACGUGAUGUCAUUCGUCUACAUACAACAAAAAAUAUUUUUCAUUGAGUAUGUACUCAUCUGCACUACCAUUUCAUAUACAGAACAUUUGUUUCCGCAAGCAGGUUAAUUUUUUUUUUUUUUUUUCAACGGGGUAAUUUUCCCUUUUUGUAUACAGGAAUUUUAUUGUGGAUUUAUCACUCUGAAAGCAUUUAAGUAAUUCUGCAGCACUUGUGCUUUUCUAGCCUGGAAAUCAUAUAGGAAAUCAAUAUAUGUGAGACACAUCUCACAUUGUCCCAAACUCAUAUAUUCUAAGAAGGAGGCUUACAUGAUUUUAAUUUUUUUCUUAUCAGUUGUUCUUUCACACAGUGACAAGGACCGUGUCUCAAUUGUCUUUUGCCAAGGUGUGCCGGAUGAGGCACUUGGACAAAAAUAUCUCACCAGGUGUGUGAGGGAGAAGAUACUGUAACCCACAAACUGUACUAGAGUACCCUGUUUCUUUUUGGUGCUGACCUGUGCAUCUGAAUACCACAGACAUGUAAAACACAAGGUCAGAAAAUAACUAAAUAAGGUUAAUAAAAAUGAUUGGAGAAGGUGGAGCAAGCAACUAAAAAUAUUUAAACAGUAUACUCAAAUUAUUUGUAUCUAUUUGGAAAAACAGCUUUGGUUGUUAAAGAGGUUUUAACUAUAUAAUUUACUUCUUAAAAAGCCAAUUCUAAAAAGGAAACAAUGGAUAAAUAAGACUGAUGGAGAAAAGAAUAAAUCACAGGAGAAAAAUAUGCUAAUAAAAUAAGCAAUGGUUUACACCAGCUUUUGGGCACAUGAAAGGAAACAAGAUACUACAGGAUUUUCUUGGUUUGCAGAAUGUAUAUGAUACUUGUACACAAAAUGCAGUGAUUAGUAUUAUUAUAGUAGCAGUAGUAGUAAAAAUGUCAAUAUUAACAGCAUUGAUAGGUAAACCAAAAAAUGGCAAAUCCAAAGCAGAACCAAGUGGAGCAAAUUAAUAAGGAGCCUUUAGUCUAAGACUGAAAGCAGCUGUUUCUCCAAAGGAUUGAAAUGGUGUAUCUUCAUUCUGUAUUAGUCUACAGCUGAGGAAUCACUGCCAUGUGAGCAGUCUGACUCUGAAUUCCAGCUAGAAGCAGAGACUUCAGGACACAUCUGCUCUUUGCUACAGGAAUUCAGAAUUCGCAAUAUUGCAUGCAUCUGGCACUUGCAAGGAAAGCUUUCUUUUUACAUGAAGUAGAAAGGCAGUGUGAUUUGUGAUGUUGCUCUUCAAAUCUCAGUGUAAAGAGGAAGCCAAGAAAUAAAGAAAAAACCCUCCAGUCUCCUGUUAAUCGUGGAAGUUGACAUUGUUACUGGCAUGUUUCUUGUAUGAAGGGAACAAUGUUCUAUAAAUUAAGGGAAAUACAGCAUAAUGGCAUAGCUCCAAACUUUCUCCCACUUACUGAUUCACCAUCUGAUUUCCAUUACAUGUAGAGAACUUCAUCCCAGCAUCUCUAAUACGGCAAGGUAUUGAAAGUCCAUAAAGAAACUCCAUUCGCCUUACACAUGAGGAGGAAACAGAAGAUUUGCUGAAAGUCCAGCAACAUCUUGUGAGGAUCGAGGAGUGGUAUUAUUUAAGGUGUUCAAGCCAGUAGGAUCAGGUAUGUGGCUGGGAGAAUGUGGAUGAGGCAGGAAUGGCAGUGAACAAAGAUGAGGAGAGAACUACAUGUGCUCAUCAAGGUAGGAAUUGAGGGGAAAAUAACUAUAAGUUGCUAUAACUAAAGCUUAGUUAGUUAUUAUUAAUCAAGUUAUUAAUAUUACUUCUCUGUCCCAGCAGUGACCUCAGGACUUUUCAGCUGUGGUGGCUCAUGUUAUUCCAUGAUCUCACCUCCAAGCCUGGUGGAGAUGAUGGAACAGAUCUGCCUAGAAGCUAAGUCACAUAGAGGACAGGGAGGUGAUUUGGGACAACCAGCACAGCUUCAGCAGGGGAAAACCCUGCCUAACCAACCUGGUGGCCUUCUGUGACAGAUUCACUACAUCAGUGGACAAGGGAAGAAGUAAUUUAUGGUCAACAGCUCAGGGCCAUGAUGGAGAUCAGGGACAGUGGGUGUCCCUCAGGGAUCUGUAUUUGGAGCAGUGUUAUUUAAUAUUAUUAUUUAAUAUCUUAGUGUUAUUAAUGACAUAGACAAAGGAAUCAAGUACACCCUCAACAAGUUUACAGAUGACACCAAUCUGAGUGGUGCCAUUGACAUACCUGAAGGAUGGGAUGCCAUCCAGAGGGACCUGGACAAGCUCAAUUGGACCUAUGGGAACCUCUUGAAGCUUAACUAAGCAGUGUGCAGGUGCUAUGCAAACCCCGUACCAAGAAAGGCUGGGGGAAGAGCAGGUCCAGAGCAUCCCUGCUGAGAAGGACUUGUGGGUGCUGGUG